UUUGGUGAUAUCUUGUCUGAUGAAGCUUCAAUGAUCACUGGAAGCAUAGGGUUGCUUCCAUCUGCUAGUCUUGGCGAAUCAGGACCUGGACUCUUUGAGCCUAUUCACGGUUCUGCCCCCGAUAUCGCUGGACAGGACACGGCAAACCCACUUGCAACAAUUCUCAGUGCUGCAAUGCUUCUGAGGUAUGGCCU